CGAUGGUUGUCGUCAGCUCGUGUCGUGAGAUGUUGGUUAAGUCCCGCAACGAGCGCAACCCCUACUUGUUAGUUGCCAUCAUUCAGUUGGGCACUCUAGCGAGACUGCCGGUAAUAAACCGGAGGAAGGUGGGGAUGACGUCAAAUCAUCAUGCCCCUUAUGACCUGGGCUACACACGUGCUACAAUGGUUGGUACAACGAGUUGCGAGUCGGUGACGGCGAGCUAAUCUCUUAAAGCCAAUCUCAGUUCGGAUUGUAGGCUGCAACUCGCCUACAUGAAGUCGGAAUCGCUAGUAAUCGCGGAUCAGCACGCCGCGGUGAAUACGUUCCCGGGCCUU
rnacentral:rRNA from 1 species